CCCUAAACUUAGAUAUUUAACAUACAAAAAUAUCCGCCAGAGAACUACGAGCAAAACGCUUAAAACUCUAAGGACUUGGCGGUACCUCAAAUCCCCCUAGAGGAGCCUGUUCUAUAAUCGAUAAUCCACGAUACACCUCACCAUCCCUUGCUAAUCCCGCCUAUAUACCACCGUCACCAGCUUACCCCAUGAGGGACAUAUAAAGCAAGCAAAAAUAGCUAAAAAGCUAAUAAGUCAGGUCAAGGUGUAGCUAACUGAGAUGGAAGAAAUGGGCUACAUUUUCUACCUUAGAAAUUAAUUUUACGGAAGGAAACUAUGAAACUAGUCCUACAAGUAGGAUUUAGCAGUAAACCUGGAUCAGAAUGCCUAGUUUAAGCCGGUCCUGAGGUGCGC
rnacentral:rRNA from 1 species